GACAAGAGGGACAAUAACAAUUAAGAACAUUAGUGUUGCUCUGGAAUGGCUGCACAUCGCCACUGGCAGCUCUGCUGAUAUGAUGGUCACCCAGAGGAAGAUUCCAACUGGCACGAGUUACUGCUAGAGCUCCUGUCCAGGCUUGGCCCUCCCUGCGAGCCCUGCUCAGUCCCACAGCCCAGCUCCUCCAGGGCUGAAGUCAUAGCUCCCAACCGAAUUGGUACUAUGGGAGUACGCCAAGAACCGUGACUCAUGUUCAAUCUAAGAGACACUGACAAAGCUUGCUAGUAAUGAGGACAGAAAUAGCAUUUGCCUUCCCUGGAUUCUUUUGUUCCAAGACAGUUUGUCAAAUUUUUUCCUCUCCUUUACGAACCCUCAGAGAAAGGGGUCUGGGAUCUACAGCCUGCAUUACAAUUGGAGUCACAGCUGAUUCUCAACUCACCCAAUCAAACUGGACUUCAGGAUUCAAGUUACUUCUCAAGUCAAUCCAAGCCUUUAGUAUUUGGAUGAUAAAAACUGUUUUUGUGGGUUGUUCCCUUGGAAUGCUGACUGAAAGUGCUCAGAAGUCUUCUGAGGUCAGAGCAGAGCAGCCAAUUACGCAUUGCCAGAUACACCUCUUGGGUAACUUUUCUUCCCUCUAAGAUCAGAAGUCCUCCUGCUGGUGGCAGCAGUGAGGGACAAAUCUGGGCAAAACUUGCUUUUCAAAGCCUUGGCUUUUCCAUUUGCUGUCCUUUUCUCUGUUUAGAUGAAAACAUAGGUUCCAAGGACCACUGGCCAAGCUACGCUUUCAGAAGCUCCAGCCUAAUGCCACUGUGAAGGGAGAUUCUUCACUGCAAGCAAUGAGCGUUUAUACGUUUUGCAUUGUAUACAUUGCAUUAUACAGUAGCAACUGGCUACUCCAGAACCAACUAGACUCCUGCAAGACAACCUGCACAAAGACCUACACUAGAUUAAGGUUGUUGUUUGUUCAUAAUCCUUUAUUUAAAUAAUACAUCAGUAGAAUUUGUAAGCAGAUUCUCAGACUAGAGGCUAGGCAGAAGAGCAUCCCAGCAAGCCUGGUGAAAGAUAAACAACCCUCCAAUGCUGAGUUUGGGGAAAAAGAUGCAGAUAUAUUUUGCAGUGAAUAGGAAAGUAGCACAGAAAUCCAGCUGCCACAACAUAACUGUAGAAGCCAUGACUGAGCCAGAUAAUAACUGCAAAGAAAAGCAAGGUGGGAUCCUGUUGCUCAGGAAAAGCAGCUCCCAGCAGGGAAAAGCCAAUGCAUUCAGGAUCAGAUUCUCAGUCACACAUCCUGCUGAGAAGCAGCAGCCUAGGGUAAAGUGUUAAAUUGCUUGCUAAGGACAAAUCAAUCCUAAAAGCCUAGCUAUUAUUCAGAGACCAUUCAAGAGAGAGAGUGUCUGUUAUACUUCAGAAGGAGUUUAAUGCCUGAAGGUCUAUAAGCAUCACAUAAUGAAAAGCAUGCUCUACGCAAAUCCCACCAUGGCUCCCGUCUCAGACAAGUUCCUGUCUGCAGGUUGCAUCUGAAGGAACAGUGAUUGUGCAGUGUUGGUGCAAGGUGAAACUCAAGACAGAUGCUGUGAGAUGACACUCACAAGCCACUCUGACAGCGACAGAAAACUUGUUGCUCUAAUGACUGGAAAAUGCCAGUUCUGCAGCUCUAAGUAUCAACCUCCUGAAUUCUGCCCAGUAUUGGGUGAGCACCCGAACAGUUCACGCUUUCCACAAGUGCCACCUCAUAGAUGCAAGUGCCUCCAGUCCCCUCCAGUUCCUCUUCUGGAGUGACUGUAACGGCCCAAAUUCUGCUACAGUGGCAGUCAUCCUCUCAUCCUGGACUCUGAGUGUAGAAAUCCUGACCACAGGAUCGUCAGCACUCUGCUGCAGCCGAGGACGACGCAUCCAGAAUGGGGCUCACGUCUUCAAGUGGGAGCGCAGCCAAAAGCAGGGCUCUGCCUCCCCCGCUCUCAGCACGCUAAAAGAAGAGUGGGAUUUUUUUCCCCCAAAAGAGCCACCUGUUAAGGAAAUUCUCCUGUGCUUUGAGAGUGCAGCAAGGCAGAAGGGUGCAACACAGCGGUUUCAGGAAGGACACCAGGUUUACAGAGCGCUGGGCAGACAAAGCUGCUGUUCUGCACUGCUGAUCCCCACCACAUUCCGCGCAAGGCUCUAAUCUGAUCAGCUCCAUUACGGAGUCACAAACUGCAUUUCAAACCAGGAUUACAAACCAGAAAGUCCAGAUGGAAAGCUGCUUCUGACCCUCAGUGAUAAAACACGCUGUUGCGAGGAGCAUAUCGCAUCAAUUUAGAUACACUGUCAGGAUUAAUGUCCUUUAACGCAACAGCAUUCCUCGAGAUUCAGAUUCCUUCCAGCCUCCUUGCUGUUUGACACGUCCUUCCUGGGCCUUGUGCAUUUCCCUGACAGAAGCCAUAAACUCACAGUGCUCGAUUACCAGCUUUGCAACCCUCGUGCUAUCUGGCAGAUGGUGAACUCAUUUUAAUUCAUGUUUAAUGGCCAGCAUUAGGACAACUCACAAGAUAAGUCACUUGGUAAAUUGGCAGCAAAAUCAGAGCUCAGUGCAGGCAGCUACCUCUCGGUCACUCCUCGCUAAAGGUAUCGUGACUCACCUUUACCACGCGCUUUGCCCUAGGGAUGCAGCUUUUUCUGCUAUCCACAUACCCAUCCCAAACGAAAUAAAAAUAUUUAGAUGUACAGACCACAACCUCACCAACAUCCACAGCCAGAGUCUGCAACCCAGGGAGAUUAUGUUUAGCAAGAAAAGAAAAAAACAAACAAACAAAAAAACCCCACAAAGUAGACCUUCUUGGCUACAUCUAAACAGUGUUUUGUCUUCUGAUCACUCUGAAUGCAGAAUAAUUUGUCAGCAAGUGACAAACUGACUUCACAGAUCUCAGCAAUAAAACGGGAUCUCAUUUGCCACCUUUGAAGAGCUGAGACAUACAGGUCAUUGUAGAGUCAUUUUUGUUCAGUGCACCGUCCCGUGCUCAGGAGGAACGAGGAAGGCUUUCAAGCUACACUGUGUAGCCAGGGAUUAGAGUUCUCCGGCUGGCUGAAGUGGAGAUGAAGCUCUCCCUUUGGGGACUAUAACGCAGGAUUUAAAUCUGACUUGUUUAAAUUCAAUUGAACUUUGAUUACCAAUGGAGCGUAAGCUAUAGACUCGCAGCAAACACAUUUCACCCUGGGCCAGAAAGGCCAUUCAUUUUCAUAGCACGUUUGGUUAAUCUAUUAACUAGCCUUUAUUUCCAUCAAAGCUUGGGAACAUGGUUUCGAACACACUGUACAGCAAACAGGCUUUUAUCUGCAGCUAAGACUGCUUUGAUAUACUGAUCAGAGCAACGAAGGGAAGGAAUUUUAUUUGUAAAAACACCAGCUAUCCCCAAAGCCUAUCCUGUACAACAACGCAGUAAGAGGAGUUUCCUGUUUGGAGAAUAUCGAGGAGUCGGCACGUCCCAGCCAAAGGCCAGUCCUCAGAGGAGCAGGCAAGUUCUCAUAAAAACGGCAUAAAGGAAAUUCUUCUGGUUGGCUGAGACAGCCCACCAACCCGAGUCCUCACUUAGACAUUCUGGAAGACACAAAUGUGAGUUUUAUAGCCAAAGCGACUCAAACCUACGCUUCUGUUCAGAUUCAGCUUUUGUGAAGCCCGACAAAGUGCUGUCAGCAACAAGAAAUUUGCAUCAGCUACUUCCUGUUUCUACAGGCAAAAGGAAUAAAGAUGGGACAACUAAAUUAAGAACAUACCGCAGUUUAUUUCUGAGCUGACACUGGAAUAUCUCAGGGGAUCAGCUACCAGAUGAUUUCCAACAUUUAUAUCUUCCACAAGCCCAAAGAUUUUUUUUUUUUUUUUUUAAAACAGUUCAGCUCAUCAAGGAAGGAACUAUUUGAAGCAAGACAAGACUCACAUGCCUGAAUUUAGUCAGUUGUCAGGACCAGCCACGAACACAAGACAGCUAUUGCUAGUCCCAGCAGCUGCCAAGACAGAGAUCUCUGCUGUUUAUAGCACAACAAUACUUGUUGACAUUGCUCCAGAACCCAUAGUGUCUACUUCUGGUAUUUCAGAUCUACUUUAUUUAGAAAGCCAAAAGCACU